rnacentral:misc_RNA from 1 species
AAGUCGUAACAAGGUUUCCGUAGGUGAACCUGCGGAAGGAUCAUUAACACGUAUCCAACGUUAAACCCCCUGUGAACCUUCAUUGUACGAGUUACAUCCACGUCAUAAACCGGCAAUCUCUGGUAAAUCAUCGACCUCUGGGAAGGGUGUACGGUAGUGCGAGGCAAUUGACCUGGCAUUCCUCUGCUUGUUAGUGUCUGAAAGUGUCACUAGCUAUGUACGGAUGGCGCAGUAACGAUCGCUGGAGGCCGACACGGCCGGCGACCAGGUCACUGGGCUACGGCCCCCCUGAUCACAACCUUUGCAUGAAAACGGGCCUGCGCUGAGGUGCGGCCACCCCUAAUGCUUGAACAACUGUUAACAAUGGAUAUCUUGGUUCUC